rnacentral:lncRNA from 1 species
GAUAGUAUAUAGUUAAAAAAAAUUACCCAUUAAUGUUUUAAGUAUGGAUCUGGAUAUUUGAUACCCCUACUGGACUUUGACCCGACCUGAACCCAACUUUUAAAUAGAUAAAAUCCGGAAUAGUUUUCAAAUCCGGAUCCAGAUCCGGACUUGGUAAAAUAUCCGAUAGUAAAUAAAAAAGACUUAAACUUUUGAAAUUGAAGGAUCAAUUUUAAUAGGACUUAUAGAUGAAUGGUCUCUACGUAUUUUCAUCUUCGGAAAAUCCUAGUCUUUCUUUUUUUUCUAAUUUUUUUACUCUAUUAUUUUUUACUCCUUAUUUUUUAAUUUUAUUUUCGCUUUAGAGUUUUUUUAUGAAACAAUAUUUCUAUCAUCCUCAUAAACGAAGCGGGUAACGUGCUACAUAUCUCUCUCAAAAAAAAAAAAUUUCUAUCACCAUCAUUAUUAGCGAUAAUCCUCUAUAUGCCUG